rfam:Avibacterium paragallinarum strain CL AvpgCL_contig_23, whole genome shotgun sequence.
AAUUAAUAGUCGGGGUGCUACUUAAAAAAGUGGCUGAGAUGAUACCCGUUGAACCUGAUCCAGUUAGCACUGACGUAGGAAACUAAUGAUGAAAACAA